AUAGGGGUGAUGAAAAAAAUCGAUCGGAUUCCCAAUGAUUUAAACCAUGAUAAUUACAACCAGCUACUUCUGACCUAU
rnacentral:snoRNA from 1 species